rnacentral:lncRNA from 1 species
AAGAUUUGAGUGCUUUAUUAAUAGGUAAAUAUUUCUUCGGCCACCAUAUGCAUAAUGCAUCGAUCCGUUGGAGUAGUUGUUUGCAUGGUGUCCAGCUCGACUGCACCUUUCACGCAUUUUUUUCCUUGGAUUAGUUGUUUGUAGCGUGAGAAAAAUGAACACUCACAUCUAACGUCUCGUCUAAUCACAUAAACUAUCACAAAGACUGCUUAAUCUUUUAUUAUUCAUUUUUUUUAUCCUGGCGCAAUGUACACUGUUGAAAUAGUCGUGACAAGAUCGUGGGUGGGGGAUAGCUCCGAACCUCCCUCAUGUAGGAUGUAUGGAAAGAAAGCAGUGGAAAAAGUUUGGAGGCCGCCGGCUUUUUUUCUGAUUUUUAACUGAGCGCCCGGCUCAAGGUGAAGGCCGGUGUUUUUCUUCCUGGGGCGCCUGUUCAAGCGGGAGGAGGGUGGGUUUGCUAUGGGUUUUGAUCCUAUCCUAUGCGCCAGUUUUCACGGGGUUUCCUCCAGGUUCUACUGUUGACGUAUGAAACUAUGAGGUAGAAAGAUUUGUUUGCUUUAUUAAUAGGUAAAUAUUUCUUCGGCCACCAUAUGCAUAAUGCAUCUAUCCGUUGGAGUAGUUGUUUGCAUAGUGUCCAUCUCAACUGCACCUUUCAUGCAUUUUUUUCCUUGGAUUAGUUGUGUGUAGCGUGAGAAAAUUGAACAAUCACAUCUAACGUCUCGUCUAAUCACAUAACUAUCACAAGAUUGCUGAUCAAUAUUAUUCGUUUAUUAUCACGCACAUUGUACACUAUUGAAUGGUCGUGAUAAAUCAUGGAUACGAAUAGCUCUAAACCUCCUCAUGUAGGAUGUAUGGAAAGAAUGGAGUGGAAAAGUUUGGAGGCUAUCGGCUUUUUUAUGAUUUUCAACCGAGCGCCGGUUCAAGGUGGACGCCCAUGUUUUUUCUUCCUGGGCACCUGUUUAAGCGGGAGGAGGGUGGGUUUACUAUGGGUUUUAAUCCUAUCCUAUGCGCCAGUUUUCACGGGGUUUUCUCCGGUUCUACUGUUGACGUAUGAAAUUAUGAGGUAGAAGAUUUGAUUGCUUUAUUAAUAGGUAAAUAUUUCUUCGGCCACCAUAUGCAUAAUGCAUCGAUCCGUUUGAGUAGUUGUUUGCAUGGUGUCCAGCUCAACUGCACGUUUCAUGCAUUCUUUUCCUUGGAUUACCUAUUUGUAGCGUGAGAAAAAUGAACACUCACAUCUAACGUCUCGUCUAAUCACAUAACUAUCACAAGACUAUUGAUCUUUAUUAUUCAUUUUUAUCACGCACAUUGUACACUGUUGAAUAGUCGUGACAAGAUCAUGGAUGUGGAUAGCUCUGAACCUCCUCUUGUAGGAUGUAUGGAAAGAAUGGAGUGGAAAAGUUUGGAGGCUGCCGGCUUUUUUCUGAUUUUCAACUGAGCGCCGGCUCAAGGUGGAGGCCGGUGUUUUUCUUCCUGGGCGCCUGUUCAAGCGGGAGGAGGGUGGGUUUGCUAUGGGUUUUGAUCCUAUCCUAUGCGCCAGUUUUCACGGGGUUUUCUCCGGUUCUACUGUUGACGUAUGAAAUUAUGAGGUAGAAGAUUUGUUUGCUUUAUUAAUAGGUAAAUAUUUCUUCGGCCACCAUAUGCAUAAUGCAUCUAUCCGUUGGAGUAGUUGUUUGCAUAGUGUCCAUCUCAACUGCACCUUUCAUGCAUUUUUUUUCCUUGGAUUAGUUGUGUGUAGCGUGAGAAAAAUGAACAAUCACAUCUAAUAUCUCGUCUAAUCACAUAACUAUCACAAGAUUGCUGAUCAUUAUUAUUCGUUUAUUAUCACGCACAUUGUACACUAUUGAAUGGUCGUGAUAAAUCAUGGAUACGAAUAGCUCUAAACCUCCUCAUGUAGGAUGUAUGGAAAGAAUGGAGUGGAAAAGUUUGGAGGCUAUCGGCUUUUUUCUGAUUUUUAACCGAGCACCGGUUCAAGGUGGAGGCCCGUGUUUUUUCUUCCUGGGCACCUGUUUAAGCGGGAGGAGGGUGGGUUUACUAUGGGUUUUAAUCCUAUCCUAUGCGCCAGUUUUCACGGGGUUUUCUCCGGUUCUACUAUUGACGUAUGAAAUUUUGAGGUGGAAGAAGAUUUGAGUGCUUUAUUAAUAGGUAAAUAUUUCUUCGGCCACCAUAUGCAUAAUGCAUCGAUCCGUUGGAGUAGUUGUUUGCAUGGUGUCCAGCUCGACUGCACCUUUCACGCAUUUUUUUCCUUGGAUUAGUUGUUUGUAGCGUGAGAAAAAUGAACACUCACAUCUAACGUCUCGUCUAAUCACAUAACUAUCACAAGACUAUUGAUCUUUAUUAUUCAUUUUUAUCACGCACAUUGUACACUGUUGAAUAGUCGUGACAAGAUCAUGGAUGUGGAUAGCUCCGAACCUCCUCUUGUAGGAUGUAUGGAAAGAAUGGAGUGGAAAAGUUUGGAGGCCGCCGGCUUUUUUCUGAUUUUCAACUGAGCGCCGGCUCAAGGUGGAGGCCGGUGUUUUUCUUCCUGGGCGCCUGUUCAAGCGGGAGGAGGGUGGGUUUGCUAUGGGUUUUGAUCCUAUCCUAUGCGCCAGUUUUCACGGGGUUUUCUCCGGUUCUACUGUUGACGUAUGAAAUUAUGAGGUAGAAGAUUUGUUUGCUUUAUUAAUAGGUAAAUAUUUCUUCGGCCACCAUAUGCAUAAUGCAUCUAUCCGUUGGAGUAGUUGUUUGCAUAGUGUCCAUCUCAACUGCACCUUUCAUGCAUUUUUUUCCUUGGAUUAGUUGUGUGUAGCGUGAGAAAAUUGAACAAUCACAUCUAACGUCUCGUCUAAUCACAUAACUAUCACAAGAUUGCUGAUCAUUAUUAUUCGUUUAUUAUCACGCACAUUGUACACUAUUGAAUGGUCGUGAUAAAUCAUGGAUACGAAUAGCUCUAAACCUCCUCAUGUAGGAUGUAUGAAAAGAAUGGAGUGGAAAAGUUUGGAGGCUAUCGGCUUUUUUCUGAUUUUCAACCGAGCACCGGUUCAAGGUGGAGGCCCGUGUUUUUUCUUCCUGGGCACCUGUUUAAGCGGGAGGAGGGUGGGUUUACUAUGGGUUUUAAUCCUAUCCUAUGCGCCAGUUUUCACGGGGUUUUCUCCGGUUCUACUGUUGACGUAUGAAAUUAUGAGGUAGAAGAUUUGAUUGCUUUAUUAAUAGGUAAAUAUUUCUUCGGCCACCAUAUGCAUAAUGCAUCGAUCCGUUUGAGUAGUUGUUUGCAUGGUGUCCAGCUCAACUGCACGUUUCAUGCAUUCUUUUCCUUGGAUUACCUAUUUGUAGCAUGAGAAAAAUGAACACUCACAUCUAACGUCUCGUCUAAUCACAUAACUAUCACAAGACUAUUGAUCUUUAUUAUUCAUUUUUAUCACGCACAUUGUACACUGUUGAAUAGUCGUGACAAGAUCAUGGAUGUGGAUAGCUCCGAACCUCCUCUUGUAGGAUGUAUGGAAAGAAUGGAGUGGAAAAGUUUGGAGGCCGCCGGCUUUUUUCUGAUUUUCAACUGAGCGCCGGCUCAAGGUGGAGGCCGGUGUUUUUCUUCCUGGGCGCCUGUUCAAGCGGGAGGAGGGUGGGUUUGCUAUGGGUUUUGAUCCUAUCCUAUGCGCCAGUUUUCACGGGGUUUUCUCCGGUUCUACU